rnacentral:lncRNA from 1 species
AUCUUUAUUGCUCAUAUUAAUUCCCCCUCAGGUCUCUUUGACUUGGUUAUCUGUUGAGAAAAAGUUCUGCAGCCCAACCUGGUAUUACCCCGGCAGCAAACAGUUAUAUUUCCAGAGAACCUGUUGCAACACGGCGUACAGAGACCGCUGUCACUUUGGACUCACCAGGUUAUAUUUCCAGAGAACCUGUUGCAAACACGGCGUACAGAGACCGCUGUCACUUUGGACUUACCAGGUAAGUUACCAACCAAAGGAGAUGGGUAAUAGAUUUCCAGCCAUUAGCAUCAUAUCUGUGUAUUUAAUAAGCACCUAUCUGUGUGAUAUUCUAUGAUACAUGAGUCAAAUUAAAGCAACAACACUGAAAAGAAACAUUGCCAGGUUACCUCUGGCUCUUGGAAUUGGGGUAAUUUUUUUCUGCUAUUUCAGUUCAGUUUAGUUCAGUCAUUCAGUUGUGUCCAACUCUUUGCGACCCCAUGAAUUGCAGCACGCCAGGCCUCCCUGUCCAUCACCAACUCCCGGAGUUCACCCAGAC